UACGGGGGGAGCAAGCGUUGUUCGGAUUUACUGGGCGUAAAGGGCGCGUAGGCGGUCAGCACAAGUCAGUUGUGAAAUCUCCGGGCUUAACUCGGAAAGGUCAACUGAUACUGUGCGACUAGAGUGAUGUAGGGGAGACUGGAAUUCCUGGUGUAGCGGUGAAAUGCGCAGAUAUCAGGAGGAACACCGAUGGCGAAGGCAGGUCUCUGGGCAUUAACUGACGCUGAGGAGCGAAAGCAUGGGGAGCGAACAGG
rnacentral:rRNA from 1 species